rnacentral:rRNA from 1 species
AUACGAACCGGACAAACGUUAUUGGGAAUUAUUGGGCUUAAAGGGUGCGUAGGCGGCGCGGUAAGUGAGGUGUGAAAGCCCACGGCUCAACCGUGGAAUUGCGCUUCAUACUGCCGUGCUAGAGGGAGACAGAGGUAAGCGGAACUGAUGGUGGAGCGGUGAAAUGCGUUGAUAUUAUCAGGAACACCGGUGGCGAAAGCGGCUUACUGGGUCUCUUCUGACGCUGAGGCACGAAAGCUAGGGUAGCGAACGGGAUUAGAAACCCCAGUAGUCC